CCAUUGAUUUACAAUGAACAAAUUGUGUUACACUGCAUCUUGGAAAAUUUUGGUUCAAUUCUAGGUUACAUACCUCCUGAUUUCUUCAUGAAAGGUUUAGCUCAACUUAUUGAACCCAUUAUUCAGCUCAUAGCCAGUCCACUAAGAGUAUAGCAGCCAGUAAUAAAUGUUGGAAUAGUCUCAUUAUUUCAUUAAUUCCAGUUGAAAAUCGAUAUAAAACAAGAAAGGAAGACCUUGCUAUAGGUAUAGGUGACUAUGGUGGCCAUUGACAUGCCUUGCUCCUUAGUAUCCAAUAUGAUAGAAAGUAAUGUAAAAUUUAAUAAGAAUAAGAUACUGAAGAAUUUUCGGAAGGCCUUCUAUAUCUUAGAUGCAGUAAAGAUUAUAAGAGAUUCAUGGACAAGUGCUGCUGAUAAAAUAAUAAUGUGUAUCUGGAAUAAGUUUGCCUUUUUGCUUUUUCUUCACAGCUUAUUCUAUGUUCAGAUAAC
rnacentral:lncRNA from 1 species